UACGUAGGGCGCAAGCGUUAUCCGGAAUUAUUGGGCGUAAAGAGCUCGUAGGCGGUUUGUCGCGUCUGCCGUGAAAGUCCGGGGCUCAACUCCGGAUCUGCGGUGGGUACGGGCAGACUAGAGUGAUGUAGGGGAGACUGGAAUUCCUGGUGUAGCGGUGAAAUGCGCAGAUAUCAGGAGGAACGACCGAUGGCGAAGGCAGGUCUCUGGGCAUUAACUGACGCUGGAGGAGCGAAAGCAUGGGGAGCGAACAGG
rnacentral:rRNA from 1 species